ensembl:lncRNA
GGGAGAGGCCCUGGGACCUGCCACUAGUGAAAAAGAGUUUGAGAGGAGCCUGCCUGGGCCUGUGAACUUCCCCCCGGGACUUAGGGGAAGGGGUUCCUCAAUGCAGUGAUAAGCUUCGCACAGAAAUGGGAUUAAAUUUGAAACUGUUACAGGUAAGAUGUGACUAGCCCAUUCUUGUAUCACAGAGAGCUAGGCUUUUUUUUUUCACUCAACAGGUAUUAGUUUAUUUUCAUUGUUACUAAAAUAGCACAAAAGAACACUUCUAUUUGUUCUCUUCCCUUAUGCUGAUCUUAGAACAACACUGAAAAUGCUCACUCUUUGCUGCUCUUAAAACACCACUGGAAACUUUAAAUGAAGGAAGAUUAUUUACUCCCAUUUCUGCCCUCUUUCCUCUUCGAUUUUAACAACUUGCUACGUUUAACCUCAGCUUUGCCUACUCUUUCCCGGAAAAAUCAUCAACAAACGUGUGGAUCUACUAUAAACAGGGACCGGUAAAUCGAUGAGGUGGAAGAUUCCAGCUUUGCUCUCAGGGAGCUUGCAGUCUCACUGGGAGACAAAUAAUUACAUUCAGAAACGAAUACUGAUGCCCAAGAGCAUAUGUUCAAUGCUAAGUCAGAGGUCUCGACAAUAGUGGCUUCAGGAGCCCAGCUGAGGCAGAAAUCCCUGAGGGCCAAGACACUCAAGCUUCUUGGAGAAGGUGGGCCUUGAAGAACAGGUUAGAUUUAGAGAAGUAGAGAGAGCAUGUGAGGCAAGACCAGUCGGUGUGGAGCAUCUCUGUGGGAUAAAUAAUGAGGGACCCAGGUUGGCUGGAGGAGAGGACAGGAGAUAGCAGUCAUUGGCUGAAGCAAUUUCUGAUUCAGUGAAAGUCUAAAGUAGGAUUUCCCCCCAGAUUGCUAGAAACCCUGUGUGUCACAGACAUACCCAUCAGAGCAAGAGGGAGGUAACAAAUGAGCUGACGGCUGGGACUUGCCAGCUAACUAUGGAGUCGCAGGAGGAGGACUGUGUUCAGGGAAGGCUACGCGUCCGUCCGUGUAUGUGCCGAGUCCCCGUAUGUCUCUCUGCACACCAGGGGCUGAGGUAAGGGUGAACUUACAAGUGUGUGUCACUCCCGCUCCCCACAAGCUCAGCUUGUAUUCUUUCUUUCUUUCUCUCGCUCCCUCCAUUCCUUCCUCUUCCCUUUCCUGCUCACGGCCAGAUGUCGAGGAGAAAUCCUUUCUCACUAUAUCCCUAAGUACGGAACCCAGCUCCCCUCCACCGGUUCCAGCUCAUUUCGCUUGGCCUCCUCGUCAGGUAUUGGGGCUCCCCGCCACCAAAGCAGCAACAAAAACUCUCACGCAGCAUCUUCAGAGACACUCUGGGCUCCAAUCGUUACCCCUCCAGGCUCCGGAGCCAAAGCUGGUUUAAAAACGUGAAAGGAUUUUUAUAGAAAUGGCAAGAUGCUCUACAUGUUGGAGAGCUGAGUGUUACUUGGCUCCUCUGUUAGAAACUUUCAGUUUAGGUACCUUAUUGUGAAAAUGAGCUCUGCAGUAUUUCAGUAAAAGGUAUUCAUGCCAUAAAUGUUGACAUAUUUACAAACUUAGAUAGGCAUGUCCCGAUAGAUAUCAUGGGCUUGAUAGAGGGACAUAUGAUAGCAUCAUUAGUAAUAUUGGGUGUAUGAGACGGAGUCCCAGAAGGAUACAGAGAGCACACUCCCCAGGCCACUUUGGCACUUUAAUGAUGGAGCUAUUUACCAGAGCAUCUCCUUUGCUAGGGCUGCCAUAACAAAGUACCACCAUCUUAGUCCGUUUGGGCUGCUAUAACAAAAAUACCAUAAAGGGGAGCUUAAAAACAACAGACAUUUAUUUUCUCACAGUUCUGGGUGCUGGAAGUCCAAGAUCAAAGUGUUGGCAGGUUGACUUCUCCUGAGGCCUCUCUGCUGGGCUUGUGGAGGCCCACCUUCUCCCCGUGUCUUCACAUAGCCUUCCUCGUGUGCGUGUCUGUGUCUUAAUCUCCUCUUAUUAUAAAGACAGAAAUAAGAUUGGAUUAGGGCCCACCCAUAUGACCUCAUUUAACCUUAAUUACCUCUUUGAAGACCCUAUUUCCAAAGACAGUCACAUUCUGAGGUCCUGGGGGUUAGGACUUGAACAUAGGAAUUUGGUGGGGGCACAGCUCAGCCCAUAACGCACACUGUGGGCAGAGUGAAGAGAAUGAGGAUGAGAUGGUAAAGCACCUGGGAACUAGCAAGGGCAGAAGCCUUUGUCAUCCUUUGGCCUGAAGAGGACAAAGGGAAAGGGCAUGUUGUUCCUAGAACCUAGUAAGAGCUGUAGCCGUGGGAGAGGGGCAGCCUAACAGGAGGUAUGCGUGCCAUAUGGUGGAGGAACACAGCCACCAUGGAAAGCAAAGCCUAGCAGGGAGGGAAGAGGAAGAAGACCCAAGCCCUCUCUCCCCCCACCUUUGACACUCCAACCGUGCUUCCCUUUGGUCAGACCCAUCUGGGAGUCAGAGAACAAAGACGCCAGGGGGAUGUGGCUCUUAGAUGUCAGCCUCCAAGGCAGUUAGUGGAGCUGAGAAGUGUGGCCAGGGUGGCUGGGGAGAGGUAGGAUGUGAGCGAACAAUGAAGAAUAACCAGCACAUGGGGGGAGUGUGUAUAUUUCCAAAGGAGGAAUUAUGAUUGAUGUUCAAGCAAUGCGAAUGGGCUGUAACUAAACCACCUAUUCAUGUAACCAUUUCAAAGUCCCAGAAGUUACCAUUCUAGGAACUUAUUUACCUCAGUAAAGCAGAAUGAUAGAAAAACAAAUAUGUUUGUUCAUGUAAUGUUGAACAUGUAUGUUCCUAUGCUACACACUGAAAAAAAAAAAAAUAUAUAUAUAUA